CACUCGCUCGCCAUGCUCCGGGGGAUUAGCUAUUUAAAGUUCAGUCGCUCCGCGCCACGGAGACCUUUCCACUCUGCCAAUAAGGACGCAACGGGACGCACAGUUGAGGAGCGCACCGAGAGCAUUUUAAUGAGGGAAGCGACUAGAAAGUGCACAUGAAGUGAGGAUACUCGUGUUGAAGCUGGGAAAUAUCAAAAGCAUCAAUUUUCCAACGCCUGUCUACAAGUUUAUUUCACCAGACUUCUCUGCCAUGGGUGUGAAGAUGCUGCAGUGUUUUCCUUUCUACAGACGCUGUAAAGAGCGUUGCAAGAGCAGGCAGGGCGCCCCAGCGGCAGAUCCCAUUGAUGAGAUGAAGCCCCAUCUGUGCUCCACCACGUCCUGGGGUAGCGACAGUGAAGGAGCAGGAAACCUGAGUCGGGGCUCCCAGAUAUAUUUCUCCACCAAGGCCAGGCUGUCUUUUAGACACCAGCUGGACAGCAACAUCAACGCAGUGGACGCCACCUACUGAGGAGGACAGAGGGCUGCAGAGGAGAUAAAUGGACUCCUGUAUCUAAGUUUUACGUCAGCCAUUCAUGCUUGGACCCUGUGGUGCGGACACGGGAGCCCGAUAGCUGAGCAAGCGCAUCUAUCGCCACCUUUUUAGAUGUGAUCAACAGUAGUUGUGCACAGCCUCAGUUUGCAUUUUAACCCCUAGUUGCUCGCUGCCCACAAAAGAACUCACGAUGAUUAAUCAGACUCAACAAGGGACCGGGGGAAACACACUGGCACAGACUUGGUUUUCAAUCUCUGUGCAUUAAGAUUUCAUGAGAGUGGAGCCACUGCCCAAACGGACACCAUGCUGAUGAGAGAGAAAACAUCAUAAAAGACACGUUUACAGCAUUCACAACCAAAAAGUGCACAACUUAUUUUUUUUUACUGUUUUCUAUUUACUGUUUUGACUCCCUUUGGAAAUAAAGUGCAGAUUUUUCAAUUCCCUGUUGUGAUAAAUGAGUGUUUCCCAAAGCAGGAUGAGGGAGUUAACCUUCAGAGUGUGAUGAUGAACAUCUUUAUCUAAACCUCGUCACCAUCAGUCACCACCUAAGAGUGACGGAAACAUAUUUCUAAUGCUGAUCUUUCCCUGGACUUUGUUUUCUUUCUAACCCUGCUCCCCUGUACCCUAACAGGAAGAUGCUUAGCGCCUCUUUUGAAAGCAUUAAGCAAACUGAGCUGCACAGCAAAAAGUAUUUUUCAAAUUUGGUAUAUUGUCACUCUUGUUUGGCUUCAACGCAAAUAAAAUAAAAAUAUAUAUAAUUUUUUUAAUUAUAAAACAAUAUAUAUAUUUUUUAUUAUAAAAAAAUAUAUAUAUUUUUUUUUUCAUUAUUAUUAUAA
rnacentral:lncRNA from 1 species